rnacentral:rRNA from 1 species
GGGUAAUACCGGAUAAUUCUUAUUGUUUACGGACGAUAAGGGAAAGGGGCCACGGCCCUGCUUUUCGAAGAGCCUGCGUUCCAUUAGUUAGUUGGCAGGGUAACGGCCUACCAAGGCGACGAUGGAUAGCCGGCCUGAGAGGGUGACCGGCCACACUGGGACUGAGACACGGCCCAGACUCCUACGGGAGGCAGCAGCUAAGAAUCUUCCGCAAUGGGCGAAAGCCUGACGGAGCGACGCCGCGUGGACGAAGAAGGCCGGAAGGUUGUAAAGUCCUUUGCUCGAUGAAGAAUAAGGCAGCGAGGGAAUGCGCUGUCGAUGACAUUAGUUGAGGAAUAAGCCCCGGCUAAUUACGUGCCAGCAGCCGCGGUAACACGUAAGGGGCGAGCGUUGUUCGGAAUUAUUGGGCGUAAAGGGCGCGUAGGCGGCUUGGCAAGCCUGGUGUGAAAGGCCACAGCUUAACUGUGGGAGUGCGCUGGGAACUGCCUAGCUAGAGUUUCGGAGGGGAAGCUGGAAUUCCUGGUGUAGGGGUGAAAUCUGUAGAUAUCAGGAAGAACAUCUGUGGCGAAGGCGAGCUUCUGGCCAGAAACUGACGCUGAGGCGCGAAAGCGUGGGGAGCGAACAGGAUUAGAUACCCUGGUAGUCCACGCUGUAAACGAUGUGCACUAGGUGUUGGCUGUGAUAACGGUCAGUGCCGAAGCAAACGCGAUAAGUGCACCGCCUGGGGAGUAUGCUCGCAAGGGUGAAACUCAAAGGAAUUGACGGGGGCCCGCACAAGUGGUGGAGCAUGUGGUUUAACUCGAUGAUACGCGAGGAACCUUACCAGGGUUUGACAUAUGGCGGACUGCGGCAGAGAUGUCGCUUCCCUUCGGGGCCGUCAUACAGGUGCUGCAUGGCUGUCGUCAGCUCGUGCUGUGAGGUGUUGGGUUAAGUCCCGCAACGAGCGCAACCCCUGCUGUCUGUUACCAGCACGUAAUGGUGGGGACUCAGGCGGUACUGCCGGUGACAAACCGGAGGAAGGUGGGGACGACGUCAAGUCAUCAUGGCCCUUAUGUCCUGGGCUACACACGUGCUACAAUGGCCGGUACAGAGUGCAGCGAAACCGCGAGGUGGAGCAAAUCACAGAAAGCCGGUCUCAGUACGGAUUGGAGUCUGAAACCCGACUUCAUGAAGCUGGAAUCGCUAGUAAUCGCG